UGGGACGUCAAUCAAUUCAGCGACAGCUACCACCCCAUGACAUGUGUUGAAGAGUGGUGUGCGGCGAAGUUUGGACAUGUGCGAACUUUUCGUUGAACAUCGUUAGCCACAGACGAUAUUUUGCUAUCGUCUCAAUGUUCGAGUGCCAAGGCCACAAUGCCAUUACGACCUUAGGGCCCGAGGCACGAUACGAGGCAGUUCGAAAUAUGGUGGAAUUAAUAAACCUGUUGUCGCGGCAAGCUGGAGUUGCCGUUCGUUUGGCCUAGAUGACAUGGGUGACUGACGCUCAGUGUCCUCGCCUCCCAUCAGGAUUCUUCAACCAACUCCGCCAGAGCUUCUGACGGCAGUAAGGGAGGGAGAGGGCGCUUCACAUUUAUCCUGCCCCGGGCGCAAACUCCUGACGGCAACUCAAACUCCUGGCGCAAACUCCGGGCGCGCCGUCCUCCGGACGGCUCUGAUCCUGACCACAUACUCUGUAUGUCACUGACUUUCA